rnacentral:rRNA from 1 species
UACGUAGGGUGCAAGCGUUAAUCGGAAUUACUGGGCGUAAAGCGUGCGCAGGCGGUUUGCUAAGACCGAUGUGAAAUCCCCGGGCUUAACCUGGGAACUGCAUUGGUGACUGGCAAGCUAGAGUGUGGCAGAGGGGGGUAGAAUUCCACGUGUAGCAGUGAAAUGCGUAGAUAUCGGGAGGAACACCGGUGGCGAAGGCGGCCAGCUGGCUCUGACCUGACGCUGAGGCGCGAAGGCGUGGGGAGCGAACGGG